GUCCUACGGGAGGCAGCAGUCGAGAAUCAUUCACAAUGGGGGAAACCCUGAUGCAGCGACGCCGCGUGAGCGAUGAAGUAUUUCGGUAUGUAAAGCUCUAUCAGCAGGGAAGAAAAUGACGGUACCUGACUAAGAAGCCCCGGCUAACUACGUGCCAGCAGCCGCGGUAAUACGUAGGGGGCAAGCGUUAUCCGGAUUUACUGGGUGUAAAGGGAGCGUAGACGGCUGUGCAAGUCUGAAGUGAAAGCCAAGGGCUCAACCCUGGGACUGCUUUGGAAACUGUGGAGCUAGAGUGCUGGAGAGGU
rnacentral:rRNA from 1 species